GCAGUCGCGUCGGCUAGCCUGCGAGUCUCAGAAGAAAAAGGGGCUCCAGAAGUGCGUGCCCCGGGCCGCUCACCCGGCCCUGCAAUUGUGGGAAGAAGAGAAUAUAGGAGUGAAGAAGGGUGCAUUUUCUAUCUCACCUCAGUCCUCGGCUAGGAAAACCACGUAGCCCUGACCAGUGGGCUCAAGGCCCUGCUGGAAACUGGUUCUGAGUGUAUAUGUCUCAGCUUGAGAUGAGAAUAUGAGAACAAGUAACAAGCAUAUUUUUUCAACUGUCUUUUCUAAAGUGCAGGUUAGGGGCUUCCCUGGUGGUGCAGUGGUUAAGAAUCUGUCUGCCAAUGCAGGGGACACAGGUUCGAGCCCCGGUCUGGGAAGAUCCCACAUGCCGUGGAGCAACUAAGCCCGUGCGCCACAACUACUGAGCCUGCGCUCUAGAGCCUGCGAGCCACAACUACUGAGCCUGUAUGCCACAACUAGUGAAGCCCACGGACCUAGAGCCCGUGCUCCACAGCAAGAGAAGCCACCGCAAUGAGAAGCCCGCGCACUGCAACGAAGACCAAACACAGCCCAAACUACAAAAAACAACCGUGUGGAUGAAAGGCUCUUGGUGCUGCAGCCAGAAGUCAGUGCUGUGCCUCUGAGGUGGGAGAGCCAACUUCAGGACACUGGUCCACAAGAGACCUCGCAGCUCCACGUAAUAUCAAAUGGUGAAAAUCUCCCAGAGAUCUCCAUCUCAACACCAGCACCUAGCUUCACUCAACGACCAGCAAGCUACAGUGCUGGACAUCCUAUGCCAAACAACUAGCAAGACAGGAACACAACCACACCCAUUAGCAGAGAGGCUGCCUAAAAUCAUAAUAAGUCCGCAGAAACCCCAAAACACAUCACCAGACGUGGACCUGCCCACCAGAGAGACAUCCACCAGAACACAGGCACUAGUGCCCUCUACCAGGAAGCCUACACAACCCACUGAACUAAACUCAGCCACUGGAGACAGACACCAAAAACAACAGGAACUACGAACCUGCAGCCUGCAAAAAGGAGACCCCAAACACAGUAAGAUAAGCAAAAUGAGAAGACAGAAAAACACAUUGCAGAUGAAGGAGCAAGAUAAAAACCCACCAGACCU
rnacentral:lncRNA from 1 species